rnacentral:rRNA from 1 species
UACGGGAGGCAGCAGUGGGGAAUAUUGGACAAUGGGCGAAAGCCUGAUCCAGCCAUGCCGCGUGUGUGAAGAAGGUCUUCGGAUUGUAAAGCACUUUAAGUGGGAGGAAGGGCAGUAAUUAAUACUUUGCUGUUUUGACGUUACCGACAGAAUAAGCACCGGCUAACUCUGUGCCAGCAGCCGCGGUAAUACAGAGGGUGCAAGCGUUAAUCGGAAUUACUGGGCGUAAAGCGCGCGUAGGUGGUUCGUUAAGUUGGAUGUGAAAUCCCCGGGCUCAACCUGGGAACUGCAUUCAAAACUGACGAGCUAGAGUAUGGUAGAGGGUGGUGGAAUUUUCCUGUGUAGCGGUGAAAUGCGUAGAUAUAGGAAGGAACACCAGUGGCGAAGGCGACCACCUGGGACUGGAUACUGACACUGAGGUGCGAAAGCGUGGGGAGCAAACAGGGAUUAGAUACC